rnacentral:ribozyme from 1 species
CAGUUGGAGCUAGACCGCUAUCAUUCUCUUUAUUUGGUUCGUUUGUAAUGUAAUGAAGUGGAAGCACGAAACGAACCAAAGAAGAGAAUGGUUGCGGUCAGUCAGUUGUAGUGAAUUG